UCUAUUUGCUUAAUGAAAUCGUAAUAAACAAUGAUGUUAAUCUAAAUAGAAAACGUAGUACGUGUAUAAAACACAAUAAAAAAAUAAUAGCAAACUUUCACUUUCUUUUGUGCUUUAGAUGUUCAAUUAUGCGUGAAAUUAGGGUGAACGGUAGAUGAUAUGGUUAGAGUUUGAAUAUUGUAUAAAAGUUUCGAACAGCUAUUAUAAACCUCCAGUAUUUGUAAAGCUUUUAGUGUAAACGAAUAAAUUUAAAUUAAUCAAUAAAUUUAGAGGAAUGAUGCAGACAAAAAUGCUUUGGUAUACCCUGUUUCUUUUAUCCCUCAUGGCGUUGGUCGCGACCAGACCUCAAGAAUCGGAGUAUGAUGAUGGAGAAGAAAGAGCUGAUGACAGAAAAGAUGAGGUAAGCCGCGUUCAAAUUAAGGUUUACCGAGGACCAACUAAGCAUGAUGGAUACGCUCCUUGGGGCUUUUGGGUAAAGCAGCCAUCUGACGAGGAUUAGAGAAUAUGCUAUAUUUUUCUGGCAGACAAGUUUACUACCUGCUUAAAAAUAUUAAAAAAAAACAGAAUAAUAAAAUAUUAGUUCAAUGCUCUAUUUUUCGUUAAAAUUGUUUUUGUUUAUAAUAU